rnacentral:rRNA from 1 species
GAUGAACGCUGGCGGCGUGCCUAACACAUGCAAGUCGAGCGAUUUACUUCGGUAAAGAGCGGCGGACGGGGGAGUAACGCGUGGGUAACCUGCCCUGUACAGACGGAUAACAUGCCGAAAGGUAUGCUAAUACGGGAUAAUAUGCUUUAGUCGCAUGGCUGAAGUAUCAAAGCUCCGGCGGUACAGGAUGGACCCGCGUCUGAUUAGCUAGUUGGUAAGGUAACGGCUUACCAAGGCGACGAUCAGUAGCCGACCUGAGAGGGUGAUCGGCCACAUUGGAACUGAGACACGGUCCAAACUCCUACGGGAGGCAGCAGUGGGGAAUAUUGCACAAUGGGCGAAAGCCUGAUGCAGCAACGCCGCGUGAGCGAUGAAGGCCUUCGGGUCGUAAAGCUCUGUCCUCAAGGAAGAUAAUGACGGUACUUGAGGAGGAAGCCCCGGCUAACUACGUGCCAGCCGCCGCAGUAA